UAAAAAAUUGAUCCUGAUUUUUUACCUGUUUAGAUUUACACAACAUCUGAUGUUAACAGCCCUUAUGUGGCUGCCAUGUGCCAAAUGUAGACAAAAAAAACAAGAAGAAAACAUUCUUUGAGCUGGCCCAGAGCCAGGUUUGUCACACAAGGGCCCCUGCCCUCCAGGUAUCAUUUGGUUGCUGCCGUUCAUAGCAUUAGUGGUGUUGAAAUGAAGCCAGCUGUAUUCUUUGCAAACCAAUUUGUCCAAUAGCAUGGAUUAUUAGGACGGAUGGAACCAAUCAGGUUGACCAUGAAAUGUCCAGGGCCAAAUGCCAAGGUCAAGAAUGCCCAGGGUGGAUCUGAUUGGCACAAAGGUAAACAGAUCAAGCACAAGGCAUAAGUGAGUGAGGGCUGGUUAGGAACACCAUUCCUCAUAGGCCUGCAGGUCCUGACUCCUCUGCACGAGAUUAUCCAGAGCACUCUGAAUUCACUCAACGCAUGGACAAAGUUCCUAAAGUAGUUUAUGAUUAUGUAUUGGCUUGCCACUCUUGGAAAAACCUGUGGCUCGGAAUUCUCCACACCUCCCGAGAUAUGGUUUGUAUGGAAUGGGCUGAAGCAUAUUUUCUCCACUCAGAUAAACAUCAGGCAGUCUCAGAAGACCAUGCAUAGCUUAUUGCAGGAACGUAGGGAAGCACUGACUUGCCCACAAAAGCAUUCUCUUCACCGGUAGACUUGGCUCAAAUGUGGCUCAGAGAAGCUAUGUCUUGACUCAAGCUAAUACUUAGUAAUAAAGCUUCCUGGGAAGGUAAGACUGCCAAAGUUUAAGUGGUGGGUUUUUAUGACCAGGAUUAUGGUCCAUUAAGGGACGAGGAUGAAAACACCAGCUUGUUUCCUCUAGGCCGAACCACCAUCCUAUUUCCAAUUAAAGUCCCACAAGAAAAAUGCUGACGUUUCUCCUACAGAAACAAUCCUCCUGGCUCUUUCCCAAAAAACCCACCAUCGUCUGAAGCCACAUCCUCACAGCAUCAAGAUUCUGCAGUUUUGUUUUCUCCAAGAGAAUAAAUGGCCUAUAAAUAAAAUGAGCAUUCAUUGAUUUUUUUUAAUAAGAAAAGAGAGCACAUGAGAUUUGUUGAAUCUGAAUGGGAUGUGGAAACAGUGUUCCCUUCACUGAUGGAGAAUGAGAGUCCUUCCCAUUGAUGAUCUUGGCUUUGUGCUGAGGAAGGUGUACAUCAGCACCUAACUAUUACAGUGAAACCACAUGACCACGAAACAUUAUUCAGCUUUCACCUUUACCUUACCCUGUGUCUCAGGGAAUGAGAGUGAACAACCUUAUUCCUUCAGUAGUUAGUUCCAACAAUGACUGCCAUACCUGGCAAAGAAAGGUUCCUUCACUUCCAGACAUGGUCUGGUCAUUUUUGAGACCAAGGUGCACAGGUGUCAUGAGGGCACUCUAGGAAAAUCCUACUGGGUAAGAAUACUGGGAUGGAGAAAUUAAACAACUAUUCAACUAUUUAGGAAGGCUUGGAUCUGUCCCACAUUUCAAAGGAUGUCAAUGUGAUAAACUAUCCUUUGGACUUUUCCAAUAAUGAGUUUUUAAAAAUAGCUUUGCAUCAUGUAUUGAAAUAAAUUUCAAUCUAACCAAAGAGAUCUCAUAUGUACAUAAGGAAUCUCUCAAAAGCUAUUCAAAAGGAAGUAAAAGUGAAUAAUAAUAAACUAUUUUUAUAAGAAAUACUGAAGAGCCCUAUCAAGGAAAAUAUCUAAAAGGUUGUAAAAUAAAGUCAUCCUUAGGUUAACACAAGAAAGCCCCAAGAAAGAUAAGCCAAUUUCUCUUUAAGAAUAUUUUCAUCAAGCCAAGAGAUUUCAAAUAAAUCCAAACUGAAAACAAAACAAAAUGGAAGUUCUAACAUCACCUGGCUUAUGUGUGUUCUGUCAACACUUACUAAAUAACACAUUCACCUAUUUCUGAACACACAAAAGGAAAAUAUCCUUCAUGGACAGCCAGACCAAAUGUUUGUUAAUGGAAAAUUAAGGACAAAUGCAAAUUUUUGCAACAACUAUAAUUUGGCUCAAAUUGUCUUUCUGUCUCUCCUCCCCUUCCCAUGACCCACCCCAGGAUACAUUUAUCCCAAAUGAUUGUUUGGUUUAUCUUCAUACAGCAAGGCAUGUGAGGCAUGAUAUGUCCAAGGGGAAGAUUUUCCUUUUUUCUUUACCCACGCUUUAAGAUUUUCUAGAGGCUGGGGGGAAGGAAGAUGUCUGUGGGCUGUGGGCUGUGGGCUGAGGUUAUCCCCUGGCUGGGAAUUGGAUGAAGAAUUCCUCUUUAGUAGGAAUGCCUUCUCUCAC
rnacentral:lncRNA from 1 species